GACGGAGGAUGCAAGCGUUAUCCGGAAUGAUUGGGCGUAAAGCGUCCGCAGGUGGCAGUUCAAGUCUGCUGUCAAAGACCGGGGCUUAACUUCGGAAAGGCAGUGGAAACUGAACAGCUAGAGUAUGGUAGGGGCAGAGGGAAUUCCUGGUGUAGCGGUGAAAUGCGUUGAGAUCGGAAGGAACUCCGGUGGCGAAAGCGGCCUGCUGGAUCUCUACUGACGCUGAGGCGCGAAAGCCAGGGGAGCAAACGGG
rnacentral:rRNA from 1 species